rnacentral:lncRNA from 1 species
GAAGGCAAGGAAGAAGACCUUUGGCUAAGGGAGAGUAAAGCAAAGAAAUGGAAAACGAGCAACUGGUGGUAUUCUAUGAAUGUAAGAAACCAGGCCACUUUAGAGCGGCCUACUCAUUGCUUAAGAAAACUCUCAAGAAUCCAAAAAGAAAAGCAAUAGUUGCUCCCUACAGUGAUAGUGACGAAUCGAGUUCAGAAGAACAAAACUAAGAAACUGUGAACUUAUUCCUCAUGGUUCUUGUAGAUUAGGUAAGUUUUGAACCUUGGAAUAA